AUUGCUUCUCUGCCUUUUGGCUAAGAUCAAGUGUAGUUUGUCAAUAUCUAGAAAGUAACUUGCUGGAAUUUUGAUCAGGUUUGCUUUGAAUCUAUUGAUCAAAUUGAGAAGAAUUGAUAUCUUAAUAUUAUUGGUUGGGUCUUUCUAUCC
rnacentral:snRNA from 1 species